UGCAAUGAGAUUGUACUAAGGUAGCGCAAUAGAUCGCCCUUUAAUUGAGGGAUAGUAUGAAUGGUUUGUCAUGGAGAAGCUGUCUCCGGAAUAUAGAGUUGAAAUUUCCAUUUAAGUGAAAAGGCUUAAAUUUUUGUAAAAGAAGAGAAGACCCUAUCGAGCUUAAUUAGGGAUAGUUAGUUUAUGUGCGGUUCAUUGUUGUUUUGUGAUAUGGAUUAAAAUUAAUGUAUCUCGUUUGGUUAUGUUAAUGUUGUCCUAUUGCAGAUUGUUUUGUGAAUAUUGGAUGGCUGGUGUUCUAUCUUUUCUUGAAGUUUUAUUGGGGCAAUAAGGGGCUAUAAUCAACGCCUCUUUCAGUUAUGAGGAUCCUGUAGUGAUAGAUAAUAAGCAAAAGCUACCGUAGGGAUAACAGCGCGAUCCUUUUCGAGACCGUAUUGAAAAAGGGGUUUGCGACCUCGAUGUUGGAUUAUA
rnacentral:rRNA from 1 species